CUGGUGUGAAAAAUUAAAAGUAUAGAUAUGGAUCAAAAUGUAUAACUGAUAAUGUGAAAUAGGAAGAAAAGGUCUAAAAAAAGUAGAGGAAGUGGGCAGGGUAGGGGAAGGUAAAAAGGGAAAAGAAAAAUAUGUGAAAAGGAAAAAUAUGGAAACAAUGUCUUUGUAAACAGGGAAGGGUGGAGGGAAUGAAGGGAGGGCUGGGGAAUGGGGAAAAAUAAGAAUCAAGAUAAGUCAUGUAAAGGCACAAGAUCCCAAUGAUGAAUUUAAUUGUACUGUAUACCUAAAAUGUACCAAUAAACUUAAUAAAGUUUAAAAAAAAGAAAGAAUUUGGGAACUAAGGCUGGUGGUGAUUGACUAAACAACUCAGCCCUUAUCUCUUGCCACAAAGCCUUACCAUCUUGGCGGCCCUUCUUUUGAGGACACUCACAAUGAACAGAGACGCGGAAUAGGAGGAAUGUCACCCAAUCCUGUUCUUUUCCCUCCGGAAUGAGAAAAUCCACCCUGGGUCCAGACGAGUACCUCCUCAUCUGCUGCCUUCCACCAAGAAAUCCAAGGAGAUCUCCAGAAAUGUUGACUCCCUGGAGCCUGUUUGAAGAUGAAAUGCAAGGACCUCUCCGCCGAAGAGGAGGUGAAACUGAACGCUUGGCACUGGAGAAUUGCUACGGAACACUCUAAGCUACAUCUGUCUUAAAAGGGUGAAACCCAAACCAGAAUUAGGAUUUAC
rnacentral:lncRNA from 1 species